ACCAGCAGCCCUAUCAGUCUUCAAUUCACAAGUGGCACUGAAGCUAAGCAGGAGUAAGCUUGGCCAGUACCUGGAUGGGAGACCUCCUGGGGAAAAACUAAGGUUGCUGCUGGAA
rnacentral:rRNA from 1 species